rnacentral:rRNA from 1 species
GAUGAACGCUAGCGGCAGGCUUAAUACAUGCAAGUCGUGGGGCAGCAGGGGUGUAGCAAUACAUCUGCUGGCGACCGGCAAACGGGUGCGUAACACGUACGCAACCUUCCCGUUACUGUGGCAUAGCCCAGGGAAACUUGGAUUAAUACCACAUAUUAUAUAGAGAGGGCAUCCUUUUUAUAUCAAAGCUUCGGCGGUAACGGAUGGGCGUGCGGUUGAUUAGGUAGUUGGCGGGGUAACGGCCCACCAAGCCUACGAUCAAUAGCUGGUCUGAGAGGACGAUCAGCCACACUGGGACUGAGACACGGCCCUGACUCCUACGGGAGGCAGCAGUGGGGAAUUUUGGACAAUGGGCGAAAGCCUGAUCCAGCAAUGCCGCGUGCAGGAUGAAGGCCUUCGGGUUGUAAACUGCUUUUGUACGGAACGAAAAGCUCUGGGUUAAUACCCUGGGGUCAUGACGGUACCGUAAGAAUAAGCACCGGCUAACUACGUGCCAGCAGCCGCCGCGGUAA